AUGGCGAAAAACAACAAUAAGAGCAAGAGAGCGCACAAGAAGCGGUCCAGACCGACAAAACGAAAGGUUUAUCAUCAGCUGACUAAGCCAUUGACGGCCAUGCCAUUGCGAAAAGAAAGACGAACUAUCGACUUAUCCUACGUAUUGUUCUUCACCAAGCCCGCGCAUUUUGGACCAAGUUUGUUUAAUUUUAUGGAUAGAAGAAAUUUAGUGAACGCAAAAAUGAGUCAGUUGGACAUCUAUGAGUUUUUAAAACUUAUGAUUGCCGAGCGAAAGAACGAUUCUUGCUUUUUUCAGUGAGUGAGCCAUCAGACCUGUACAACCUAGAAAUGUCGAUGACCGGAAGGCAAUCCGUAAUCCACGGCUACUUUGAUGAAAUUUCCAAACACUGGAUCACUUAUCUGAUGGCUUGGAUUGAAGUUCUAAAAAUGGUUGAUGACAGAACCGCUGCCGAAAAGGUAAAAAGCAUUUUGGAAAAGUUAAUCUCAAAGAAAAAGACACCGUUGGAUGUAAAAGUCUCUUCCUUUACAGCGCCAACAUUUCUCAACAGAGGCAAUAGACCGCCAAGGCCAGGAGACAUGUCAAAAACAGAGUACUUUGCAUCAACAAUGAUUACCUUAAAUUUAUAUAGAUGCAUGACGAAAUUUCUUGGUCCAGUGCUACGAGAUCGUCAACUGGAAAGAGAAGGCCAGGUCCGGACUGAUUCCGAGAUUGACACGCAGAAUUUAUUAUUUGACUUGUUGGACGAAUGGCGUGUAAACAACGGAAAUCGUCCCGAUUUUCAAGCUGAUAUUGCCAAGAUUGAAACAGCCCGACAAGGUCGAAAUAAAAUUUGCCAUGGUGAUCUCGCAAUGAUAGUACAGCAUUGGAAGCGGUACUUUCAUUCAUGGAUAGAUGUGUGUACUAUGUUGGGAGAAGAUACUUCUGCCCACAAGGUUGAAAAGGUUUAUAACAGAUUGCUUUCUUAUAGAGAACAUGCGAUUCGCUGA